CUUGUGGAGGAAGAGAAUGAGAGACAGACACUGGGUCACAUGUCCUUCAUCUUCCAACAGGGCAGGGCUCCGAGGCUUGCAGGGCCCUCCAGGGAAACUGGGGCCUCCAGGAAGUAGAGAGGCUCCUGGGCUGCAAGGAGUGAAGGGCCAAAAAGGAGAUCAUGGAGACAGUUAAGUUACGGAGACUAAGCUGGCUAACUUAGAGAGAGAGCUGAGGAGCCUGGAGGCAGAACUGGACCGCAUCAAAAAUUGCACACCUUCUCCUUGGGCAAGAGAUCUGGAAAGAAGCUCUAUGUUACCAAUGGUGAAAAGAUGCCUUUUUCCAAAGUGAAGGCUCUGUGCGCUGAGCUCCAGGCCACCGUGGCCACCUUCCGGAAUGCUGAGGAGAACAAAGCCAUCAUGGACAGGCCAAUGACCAUGCCUUCCUGGGCAUCACAGAUGAAGUGACUGAACUC